GAUGAACGCUGGCGGCGUGCUUAACACAUGCAAGUCGAACGAAGCACUUUAUUUGAUUUCCUUCGGGACUGAUUAUUUUGUGACUGAGUGGCGGACGGGUGAGUAACGCGGGGGUAACCGGCCUUGUACAGGGGGAAAACAGUUGGAAACGGUUGUUAAAACGGCAUAAGCGCACAGCAUCGAAUGAUGCGGGGUGAAAAACUCCGGUGGUAUAAGAUGGACCCGCGUUGGAUUAGCUAGUUGGUGAGGUAACGGCCCACCAAGGCGACGAUCCAUAGCCGACCUGAGAGGGUGACCGGCCACAUUGGGACUGAGACACGGCCCAAACUCCUACGGGAGGCAGCAGUGGGGAAUAUUGCACAAUGGGCGAAAGCCUGAUGCAGCGACGCCGCGUGAGCGAAGAAGUAUUUCGGUAUGUAAAGCUCUAUCAGCAGGGAAGAUAAUGACGUUACCUGACUAAGAAGCACCGGCUAAAUACGU
rnacentral:rRNA from 1 species